CACGUAGGGCGCAAGCGUUGUCCGGAAUUAUUGGGCGUAAAGAGCUCGUAGGCGGUGUGUCGCGUCGGCCGUGAAAACCUGCAGCUUAACUGUGGGCUUGCGGUCGAUACGGGCAUCACUGGAGUUCGGCAGGGGAGACUGGAAUUCCUGGUGUAGCGGUGAAAUGCGCAGAUAUCAGGAAGAACACCCGUGGCGAAGGCGGCUCUCUGGGACGGUACUGACGCUGAGACGCGAAAGCGUGGGGAGCGAACAGG
rnacentral:rRNA from 1 species